GAAAAUCUUUGACCAAACAUGUCUCAGACCCACUCUUCUAGGAACGUCAGUGAACCUGGAAACUUACUCUACAAAAAGGUGGAUUAGAGUCCUUAUCUCAGAUUUGGAACCUCUGAGACCCAGCCAGUCCCAGCCACCUGAGAACAACGGAUUCAGUGUCUCGCACCAAGUGCUUAGUCCAGAGUGAGCCACUAGGGGAAUAAGGGGCCCAGUCACAGCUGUCAAAAUGUCAACCUCAAAGGCAAGUUGAGGCACACUGAGUGUGAAGACAUAGUUUAUUCAAACCAGAAUGAGGAUGUCAACCACGAAGAAAGCUGCAAACGAGCACUGCACUAUUUUUAAAUGUGUGGCAAACAGCUGCCUUUUGUCUGGACAUGUAUAAUUAAUAAAAUCAGGAAGAAAGACUGCUAAACCAAUAUAUGUUUGUGGAAUAUUAAUUUACAUAUAAGGUACUUUUCUUUGGGAUAAGAGAAUUAGAGAUCAGAUAUAAAUAUAUAAUACAGGAC
rnacentral:lncRNA from 1 species